AUUGAACGCUGGCGGCAGGCCUAACACAUGCAAGUCGAGCGGAUGAAGGGAGCUUGCUCCUGGAUUCAGCGGCGGACGGGUGAGUAAUGCCUAGGAAUCUGCCUGGUAGUGGGGGAUAACGUCCGGAAACGGGCGCUAAUACCGCAUACGUCCUGAGGGAGAAAGUGGGGGAUCUUCGGACCUCACGCUAUCAGAUGAGCCUAGGUCGGAUUAGCUAGUUGGUGGGGUAAAGGCCUAGCAAGGCGACGAUCCGUAACUGGUCUGAGAGGAUGAUCAGUCACACUGGAACUGAGACACGGUCCAGACUCCUACGGGAGGCAGCAGUGGGGAAUAUUGGACAAUGGGCGAAAGCCUGAUCCAGCCAUGCCGCGUGUGUGAAGAAGGUCUUCGGAUUGUAAAGCACUUUAAGUUGGGAGGAAGGGCAGUAAGUUAAUACCUUGCUGUUUUGACGUUACCAACAGAAUAAGCACCGGCUAACUUCGUG
rnacentral:rRNA from 1 species